rnacentral:tRNA from 1 species
GUGGGUGUAGCUCAGCAGGUUAGAGCGACAGACUGUGGCUCUGUAGGUCGGGGGUUCGAAUCCCCUCAUCCACCCCA